AGUUGGAAUAGUGUUCAAUAGAUCACCAGGCUUAGCAGGUAAGAUAGUAGGAUCAUGGGUCGGAUCGCUACAUGGACUCCCUGCAAAUUGUUAAAAGUGGCUGGAAAAUCGGUCACGAUUCCAUCAACCUUGGCAGUUUGGACGUAAGUUGCAAUCUCGACAUUAGGAUCAGACCAAUAGUCGAAUGCCAGGGUUGUGUAUUCGUUUUUGAGAUUAUGGACGAAUACUGUGAGGUUUGCAUCUUUCAACUCUUUGACAACAUUUGUCAUUCCUACUAAGAUGGAAUUAGAUACUUUGAUAAUUGAGGUUUUUGGAAGAUUCACUGCAUCCGCAUGCUUCUUUAUUUCUUCCACUGUUUGUCUUGGUACGUCGCCCAUUUUAUCCUUCAAUAACAUAACCCUUUUAUAAGAUGGGAUGUCUUUAAACCUGGAUAGGACCGAGCUGUCAUCUGAUUGAAUCAGAACUUGUUGUUUGGCUUGCUUGUCAAAGGUGGCAUUGCUCAAAGCAGUGCUGACAGCAUCUACAAUGUCAAGACCCUUUUGGGAUGCAAGGUAGGGGGCAUUCUGUGUGGAUAAUAGAGUUAGCAAUAAUAGCAACUUUUUCAAAUAAAAGCUUGAGGAGCACUACUAAUACUCUAACACACUCCUUCAAACAUACUUUACUAUUAGUUGAAAUUUAUUAAAAACUAAAAAAUUAGGAAAAAAAGUGAUUUUUAAUAAAGUGUAACCGAUAGUAAAGAUUGUGUGUUGCUAACAGCAUAAGCAUUAUAGGGAAGUUAGGAAUGUUGCUCACUUGUAUGUUGACCAAAAUGCCAGGAACUGCCUUAGCCUUGGCUAACUCCAAAAAUGCUGAGAGGGUGACAAAUUUACCACUGGUCUUGUUUGCGGGGUUUCUUAGGAAAUCACUGCCUUUACUAACCAUUUGAGCUGAAACAAGAAAUUUAUACUUAAGUUCAUUGUUGAAAUCUUAAAGGCUGAAUCUGAACUUGAACUCUUCAACUUCUAUAGAUAGAAGUAUUUACGUUUUAAUGUCUGAAUCUCACUCCAUGUAAGGUCAAAGGAGAAAAUUCCACUUUUUGGUUGAAGUUCUGGGACAUUGGAAGAUCGAGACAUGAAUUUAGGCAUUGCGGUGGUAUCUGAUGUUAGGUCUGUGGAGUUUGAGCAGAAGGCAAUUCCAUCUUUUGUCAUUUGAACUGAGCAAUCUAUAAUGUCAGCGCCAUCAUCUAUUGCUUGCUGAUAUGCAAGGAGGUCCUGCAUUCAGAGAGAGAACCUGAACAUUCAACCAAAGCCUCGGGGGAGAUUUUCCGCUUAGUAGAGCAUCAAGAUUAAGAACUGGGGAAGUACCAUCGUAAAAAUUGGGUCGAGAAAAUAUGGCCUGAGUCACUGCAGAAUACAUAGCAAAGAGUAAACCUUCCAUUUCAAAACUCAAACUGGGUCAUGCUUGUGUAUAUGUAUGGCGCUUGUGACCCUAACUAGUUCUGAGUGUUGUAGUUCAUCUCCUAUAAUCUGUUACCUGCUAAGUAUUAUGAAGUCUAUUCAUACGCAUUAACAAUCCUAAGUCCUAGCAAUAUUUUUCUAUUAUUUUGUCACACAGAAUGACUCGUAUUGCAAUCUAUAUAAUCUAUAUUCAUUCAA